rnacentral:rRNA from 1 species
GAUGAACGCUGGCGGCGUGCCUAAUACAUGCAAGUCGAGCGAACAGACGAGGAGCUUGCUCCUCUGACGUUAGCGGCGGACGGGUGAGUAACACGUGGAUAACCUACCUAUAAGACUGGGAUAUCUUCGGGAAACCGGAGCUAAUACCGGAUAAUAUAUUGAACCGCAUGGUUCAAUAGUGAAAGACGGUUUUGCUGUCACUUAUAGAUGGAUCCGCGCCGCAUUAGCUAGUUGGUAAGGUAACGGCUUACCAAGGCGACGAUGCGUAGCCGACCUGAGGGGGUGAUCGGCCACACUGGAACUGAGACACGGUCCAGACUCCUACGGGAGGCAGCAGUAGGGAAUCUUCCGCAAUGGGCGAAAGCCUGACGGAGCAACGCCGCGUGAGUGAUGAAGGUCUUCGGAUCGUAAAACUCUGUUAUUAGGGAAGAACAAAUGUGUAAGUAACUAUGCACGUCUUGACGGUACCUAAUCAGAAAGCCACGGCUAACUACGUG